AGAGUUUGAUCCUGGCUCAGGAUGAACGCUGGCGGCGUGCUUAACACAUGCAAGUCGAACGAUCCUUCGGGAUAGUGGCGGACGGGUGAGUAACGCGUGGGAAUCUGCCCUUAGGAGGGGGAUAACGGCUGGAAACGGCCGCUAAUACCCCAUAUGCCGAGAGGUGAAACGAAUUUCGCCUGAGGAUGAGCCCGCGUCUGAUUAGCUAGUUGGUGGGGUAAAGGCCUACCAAGGCGACGAUCAGUAGCUGGUCUGAGAGGAUGAUCAGCCACACUGGGACUGAGACACGGCCCAGACUCCUACGGGAGGCAGCAGUGGGGAAUUUUCCGCAAUGGGCGAAAGCCUGACGGAGCAACGCCGCGUGAGGGAUGAAGGCCUCUGGGCUGUAAACCUCUUUUCUCAAGGAAGAAGAACUGACGGUACUUGAGGAAUAGGCCACGGCUAAUUCCGUGCCAGCAGCCGCGGUAAUACGGGAGUGGCAAGCGUUAUCCGGAAUUAUUGGGCGUAAAGCGUCCGCAGGCGGCCUUGUAAGUCUGUUGUUAAAGCGUGGAGCUCAACUCCAUUUAAGCAAUGGAAACUACAAGGCUGGAGUGUGGUAGGGGCAGAGGGAAUUCCCGGUGUAGCGGUGAAAUGCGUAGAUAUCGGGAAGAACACCAGUGGCGAAGGCGCUCUGCUGGGCCAUAACUGACGCUCAUGGACGAAAGCCAGGGGAGCGAAAGGGAUUAGAUACCCCUGUAGUCCUGGCCGUAAACGAUGAACACUAGGUGUCGGGGGAAUCGACCCCCUCGGUGUCGUAGCCAACGCGUUAAGUGUUCCGCCUGGGGAGUACGCACGCAAGUGUGAAACUCAAAGGAAUUGACGGGGGCCCGCACAAGCGGUGGAGUAUGUGGUUUAAUUCGAUGCAACGCGAAGAACCUUACCAGGGUUUGACAUCCUGCGAAUCCCUUGGAAACGAGGGAGUGCCUUCGGGAGCGCAGUGACAGGUGGUGCAUGGCUGUCGUCAGCUCGUGUCGUGAGAUGUUGGGUUAAGUCCCGCAACGAGCGCAACCCACGUCUUUAGUUGCCAGCAUUCAGUUGGGCACUCUAGAGAGACCGCCGGUGAUAAACCGGAGGAAGGUGUGGAUGACGUCAAGUCAUCAUGCCCCUUACAUCCUGGGCUACACACGUACUACAAUGCUACGGACAAAGGGCAGCAAGCUCGCGAGAGUUAGCAAAUCCCAUAAACCGUGGCUCAGUUCAGAUCGUAGGCUGCAACUCGCCUACGUGAAGGAGGAAUCGCUAGUAAUCGCAGGUCAGCAUACUGCGGUGAAUACGUUCCCGGGCCUUGUACACACCGCCCGUCACACCAUGGAAGUUGGCCAUGCCCGAAGUCGUUACUCCAACCCUUGUGGAGGAGGACGCCGAAGGUGGGGCUGAUGACC
rnacentral:rRNA from 1 species